AGAACGAACGCUGGCGGUGUGCUUAACACAUGCAAGUCGAACGGGCAAGAGCUGUAGCAAUACAGAAUCUGCUAGUGGCAGACGGGUGAGUAAUACAUGGGAAUCUACCGUGCAGUGCGAAAUAACAGUUGGAAGCAAUUGCUAAUGUCGCAUAUAGCCGAGAGGUGAAAGAUUUAUCGCUGCAAGACGAGCCCAUGCAGGAUUAGCUAGUUGGGGGGGUAAUGGCUC
rnacentral:rRNA from 1 species